AAGAAUCCGUGAUAGUGAAAAUAAUGCUGUGAAGCAAGGUGAUGUGAUUUAAAUAUGAAUCAGCUCAAAUGUAUUUCUUCUUGCACUCCCUAGCUUCAGCUUGCACUGCUGUACUGGGACGCCACUGGGAUUGCUGGCAGACCUGGUUUUCCACCUUGCCUGGUGCUAGUGUCAAACUCUCUAGACCACUGGCCUUCAAAUGAACUAGAGAUAGUGGUGUAAGUGCAAGGCAGUGAGGGACCAAUACGCUGUGAUCCUGCCUGAAAUGAUCCUUGAGGUUUGAUGAAUACUUGGAGAGAAAAGUGGAAGCCAGAAAGACCUGCACCCUGAUCUGAAAACAGAGACACAAAGGCUAAUGUCAGAUAAAACUUGAAGGAAAAUGUAUAUUGCUUGCAAUUUCAUUUCUUAGUAGGCUUAAAUCAUUCUCUUAACUCAAACAAAUACUAUAUACCAAUCUGUUACUUUUCUCCUCUAUAAUGCUUGUGCCUGGAGUCUUUUAUAACUUAUUCCCUGCUACAGCUUUAAAGAAAUUGAGCAUAUACACCCUCGCUACUAAAUCAGCUCAUCUAUCUGUCACACUCAGUGCAACUUGGAAAUUAUCCGCAGUUCAAGAGAUGCUACACUAGCUUUUCCAAUCACUGCCAUUGCAUCCUUUCGUAUGGAGUGACUUGUUGGGGAAUGAGUCAAGAAUAAGAAAUAUCUCGUCCUUGGGCAUUUAAUGGAAAAAAAAACAGAGAUCAGAAAAUUACUGUGAGCUGCUUUUGUCUGUCCCCUUUGAGCUGAAAAAGCAUCUUGCCAAGGGGAAGAGAAGUCCUGCAGAGCUCAAUCCGCAGAAAUCAUCUCAGAGCAGCUUCCCCUGAUGUUGAGAUCCUUUCCUGGAGAUUUCUAAUGUGCUGCAGUAAGAACCGUUUCCCAAGAGCCUCCAUAGGUCCCCAGGGAUUUUUCAUGGUCCAGUCUUGGUUAAAAUAAAAAGCAUAUUCAGGGGGAAUGACUAAUCCUCUGCCUGAAUGCGACAUGCCUAUUGGAAAGUUUGUGAUGUGGUACACUAACUCUCUGAUUUGUUUGGCCGUGUGUGAAAAGCUUUUAAGCUGGCUCUGGAAAUUCACCCCCGAAGCCUCUUCUGGGGCUUGUAUUUUUAUCUUUUCCCCAUUUCCUCAAAUCUUUCCCUUGUUUCUAAAGAGUGCCAUCGUCCGUUCCUGAGCCCUCAAAUCCAAUUACCAAACAAUGUACAAAUAUAUGGCUGAGCGUGGUCUACGGGAACAGCUGCAAAAUCGCUAAUAUUAGGUCUAAUUUAGCUACAAUAAAUUAGCAAGUGUGUGGAAGCAAAAUGAUGACAGCAUAAUUAUAACAAAAGUCGAUGUGUUGAAGUAUAUGGAUGACAAUACAUACUAAUUUUAGUGAAAAAACGCACCAAAUGAAAUGCAUGCAAUGAACAGACGGGACUAAUAGCUCAGACACAUAUACUUAAUGUGACCAGUCAGUGUAAAAACAAAAAGAUAGAUGAAGCUGUUCAGAACCUAGUGCUAACAAGCAGUGUAGUCUGAAACCAUUAACUGUCAGGGGUAAUAACACUCAAAGUACUGAAGUGCAGUAAAACAGCAGCACUUUUCUCGGGAUGAUGUGCUGAUGUACAAGCACACACCUGUGAAGAGGGUACUAAAUCUAUCCUUGCAUUUAUUACUAUGGAGGGAGGAAAAACAACACUAAUAAUGUAAAGUAUAAACGAAAAUAGCAGACAGCAGAGAGUGACAUUUGCAUGGUCCCAGUCAGCUUGUUAGCUGAAGUGGGUUUUAAUUAGCUAUUUUCCAGCAAGCAAACGAGCAAAUUAGUGGCAGCCAUAAACAAGCAGAGACAAUCAGGCCCAAAGAAAAAAAAAGAAAGAAAAGAUCGGACCUUUUUCGGUGUGUUUUCCUGUCAGAACUACAAUGCCUUCAUGCUUCAGCUAAAUAUUUCUAUUAACCAAAAGAAUGUGGAAAAGUGAAGACCUUGGUAAUGGUGUGAUUUCCCAAAGUGGCUCAAAACAUGAUGUUAAUAGUACCUCAGGGACUAAAAGCCCUGCUCUGAACAAACCUACCCUCUGCAUCAGAGGGUAAAGCUUGGGCCUCCCAUGCAUAGCCUCAGGGGUCUGGUGCACCCUGGCUCUGCCCUCCUGCUGAAGACUGUCCUCUGCUCAUGGGACCACAGGGCUCCAGUGCUGUGGCCUCACUCCUGUUCUGGAUGAGGAAGAGCAGGUGCUUCAGAAAGUGCAGUGCAGGAUAUAGGUGCACUGCUCUCCAUCUUCACCUUCACACUGCAACAGGCAUGAGACAAGCAACGGCCAGUUGAGACCAAACGGGUGCCAAAAGCAACCAGCUACUCUUGCUGCUGAGGAAGGAAGCUAUGGCUCUGCAAAGGCAGCAGGAGACAGAAACCACUGAGGAGGGAAGAGGUGAGCAGCAGAGGACAAUCCCUGGUGCUAAACUACCUUGCUAAGAGAAGACGCUUACUUGUGUAAGGAUAAGGAUGGAGCCCCUGGCAGAUAACAUGGAUUCCAGCAGUAAUGAACAAACCUGCUUUUGGAGCUUCUUUUAUUACCAUAGUACGACUGGCUGCAUAAUGAAACCUGCCCUGCUGUUACUGUAACAUGGAGAUGAAGGUCCUUCACAGCCUGGUCAAGUAAGGCUCAAGGUUAAGCAGUUCACUGUAGUACUUUUGUUACUGAACUGAUUAUAUUAACAAUCAGCCAUAAUGAAAAACAUGGCAAGUUUAUCCCUUGAGUCAGACAUGUUUACCCUCCUGUUCUCUCUGAUUUUAAGAAAUGCUGAUGUUGCAAAGAUAAGAAACCAAAUACAACAGGGCAAAUUACUUCAACUCUUAGGUUUUGUACCUGAAGAAUUUAGGUACAUUCAGCGUAAAAUAGAAGUGUGCAAAGUCAGAGAGCAGUAAACAACUACUAGAGGUAGUUGCUGGGCAGGAGGAUUUGGGGAUCUGAGCACUAAUCUAGACCUGGAGGAACUGAAGUUCAUAUUUCACUCUAUGAGAGACUUCUCCCAUGACCAUGGGUGACACAAGCCGUCUGUCUGGAGAUAGCAGUGCUUCUGCCUUAGGAGUUUGCUGCAAAAUGUUCAUUAAACACUGCGUAGGGCUCUGAUAUCUUGGAGAAGGGGAUAAUUACCUGGAAGGGAAAAUGACUAAUAAAAAUUAAUCUUAUUUAUGCAUCACUAUUGGUACAUGUGGCACUAGCGAAAGACAUUGCAGCAGGCUUUCGGUUGGUAUAAAUUAUCAGGAAGCUGCAGGAGAGACUCUCUUGCAUCCCUGUCCUUGUCUUGUGCCAAGGGUAUUACAGUCUAAUUAAUACAGAUAACAUGAGUGCAGACGCCUACCUGUUGGGCGCAGUUGGAAUACUAACACAAGGGGAGGGCUGGGGGAAGGCUCUUGAAGAAGGUUUAUUUUAUUUAGUUCAUUUGUUUAGUAAUGUUUUGACGGUCAGAAAACCCUGGCAAUGAGUAGAGCCCAAGAGGCAAUUAGUAAUGGGGCAGAAAAUGUAAUGAGCCAAAAAAUGAAUUAACUUGAGCAGACUAGGCACAGACACAAGGGGCCAAUGCUUUUUGCUAGUUUAUAACCCCUGCCCCUCCACUGGAUUCAGAAAAGUAGGAUGAGGUGUGAUUUAACAUAGAAACAGCCUGCAAGACAUUUCCUACCGCACCCCGGGUAGCUCUUUGCCACAAAAAGCACUGCCAAUGCGCCUGCAGGCAGGCAGCCUCUCUCAGCUCUUGCCUAAAGUGAGCCUCUACCUAUAAAGUUUCCUGCCAUUACCACCACUGCUGCAGAGGGUAGAU